AGUGAACGCUGGCGGUAGGCCUAACACAUGCAAGUCGAACGGCAGCACAGUAAGAGCUUGCUCUUACGGGUGGCGAGUGGCGGACGGGUGAGGAAUACAUCGGAAUCUACUUUUUCGUGGGGGAUAACGUAGGGAAACUUACGCUAAUACCGCAUACGACCUACAGGUGAAAGCAGGGGAUCUUCGGACCUUGCGCGAUUGAAUGAGCCGAUGUCGGAUUAGCUAGUUGGCGGGGUAAAGGCCCACCAAGGCGACGAUCCGUAGCUGGUCUGAGAGGAUGGUCAGCCACACUGGAACUGAGACACGGUCCAGACUCCUACGGGAGGCAGCAGUGGGGAAUAUUGGACAAUGGGCGCAAGCCUGAUCCAGCCAUACCGCGUGGGUGAAGAAGGCCUUCGGGUUGUAAAGCCCUUUUGUUGGGAAAGAAAAGCAGCAGGUUAAUACCCCGCUGUUCUGACGGUACCCAAAGAAUAAGCACCGGCUAACUUCGUG
rnacentral:rRNA from 1 species